UUUCUUGCUGUGUGCUCUGCCAGUUUCUUUUCAUAUUUAUUGUUUGUUUGCUCUUUAAUUUGCUUCAGUAUUCUCUCGUUAUUAGGUUACAGCUUUGGCUUUUUUAUAAAUUACUUUCGUAUAAUUAUAAAUUGUUUAGAAUUCGACGAGUAACGCUACGAUUGUGUUUUCUAUUGGUUUGCCUCUCAUAGAUUGGGUUUUAGGAAAAAGGGAAUCUUUGUGUGUAUAUCAAUUGGAUGUACGCGGCACACCCGUCUUUUCGAUGGUUUCCAGAAAAAGCGUGGCAAAUCGAGGCUGUGCCUGACCAAGAAGUUGCCGAGGAGCGGGGGACCCUGAAGCGACUGCAGAAUGCUACUCGCCGGUAACCAGGUAUGGUUUCUCAUAUCAUGAUUUGUUUGCCCUUACCUAUUUCAUUAUUACAAAAAUGCCAUGCUCUGUAACCCCCAGUAAAUCAUUGAUAGGGAAAAGAAUCGAUAUACAUGCACACUGAUAAUUGAAUUGAAUCAGAGACAAACAGGAAUAUAUUGUUUGUUUGAUUACAAAUCUUGAGUUUGAGUGGGUGAAGGAGUCGAGACAUAUUCAGGUUCAGGGUUUUAUCAAUUUCUCAAGGGGUUUGAUAAACCCUGAACAUGGGGUUUAUCAAAGUCUUCCGUCAUUAGUCUGCAAUACACCAAAGUAAAACCAGGUUUGAUUUUUGCUGUUUUUGGACUCGGGACUAUUGGUAUUGCAAUAAGUAUAUGUGUUUUUGUUUUGAUAUUGAUUAUUCUAAUCAUUCCAGUCUAACUUAACAGGUGGCUGAGGGUGCCAGAACAGCCUGUGCUUCACGAAUUGAUAAUUAAAAUUUUGAGCAAGAAUUUUAGCCUUCAGUACUUCAGAUUCACUCGUAAGCAAAUGAGAAUCUUUUGUUCAUCAUCGCGCAGCAAAACCUAAAAGGGAGCGUCAUGGAGAGAUCAAGUGAUUAGGUUCCGACAUAAAUAAGUUUUGUUCAGCUGUUGUUCAAUUUGGGUUCUGCCAUGUUCUUUGGUUUUUGCGAAGUAGAGUCAGUUUCCGUAUUCUAUUACGAAUAGAAGAAACAACCUGAAGGGGUGAGACAAAUCCUACAGAGGCAGUCCUCAAGCUGUUCAGGCGGUUCUUUUAUGUGCUCAGCAUUUGGGAUCACGUCAUGCUAGGGCAGGGCAAUUGCUGACCAAAGAUCGGGAAGAGUACAUCUGAUUCAGUUAACAAACACCAAACUAUGUUGAUAUUGCUGCGAGUCAAAUAUGUUGGAAGCCAUUCCGAGAGCAAAUGGGCAGGGUUUACCGAAGCCAGGGGAAACUAUCCAUUUAGCCACCACAAGCUAACCUUUCAAUUUUAUGAAGCAUCAGAGCUCAGGAUCGGAAACUAGAAGUGUUGGUCCUUAAGGCCAUUUUGAAAUUAUGAAGCCCUAACCCAACUGAAUUAACUCUACUGUUGACUUGGAAGAAAUGAUUAUGCUCUUCUUAAAGUUUCUCCAAGUGUAGUUACUUUGACUGGUAGCAGUUACCCUUGCUACAUCGAAGCAUAUCAUUUGACAUAUUCUAAUGGCGGAAGGAUCACUCUGCACCCUAAGAUACUGAGAAGGAGAUUAAGGGAUAUAAGGAGUGAAGAACUGAAGGCUCUCUAAUUCUUCUGACGGAUUCAGAAAUUUUUUCGAAUCAGAUUAAGGAUUUUUCGUGUUUAUAGUUUCAUACAGUUGUUGGGCAGAUGAUGCGUGAUUUAGUUUGGGCAGAAGCCAAGUUGUAUCCUUCCAAAUGUAAAGUUUAGGUGAUACUAUUUGUUAGUGAUGGUUUUAAGUUGAACUUUGUAAAAGAAUAAAAACUAUCGAUAAGUUAUUUAUAAUUUCAUCCACACAAAUGUUGAC